AUUGAACGCUAGCGGCAUGCUUAACACAUGCAAGUCGAGCGGCAGCGCGGGGAAACCUGGCGGCGAGCGGCGGACGGGUGAGUAAUACGUAGGAAUCUGCCUUGUAAUGGGGGACAACCCGGGGAAACUCGGGCUAAUACCGCAUAAUCUCUAAGGAGGAAAGUAGGGGACCUUCGGGCCUUACGUUAUAAGAUGAGCCUGCGUCGGAUUAGCUAGUUGGUGGGGUAAAGGCCUACCAAGGCGACGAUCCGUAGCUGGUCUGAGAGGACGAUCAGCCACACUGGGACGGAGACACGGCCCAGACUCCUACGGGAGGCAGCAGUGGGGAAUAUUGGACAGUGGGGGAAACCCUGAUCCAGCAAUGCCGCGUGUGUGGAGAAGGCCUUCGGGUUGUAAAGCACUUUCAGUGGGGAAGAACUAAUUCAAGGUUAAUAACCUUGAGUCUUGACAUUACCUACAGAAGUAGCACCGGCAAACUCUGUGCCAGCCGCCGCCGUAA
rnacentral:rRNA from 1 species